GGGUCGUAAAGCUCUGUUGUUAGGGAAGAACAAGUACCAGAGUAACUGCUGGUACCUUGACGGUACCUAACCAGAAAGCCACGGCUAACUACGUGCCAGCAGCCGCGGUAAUACGUAGGUGGCAAGCGUUGUCCGGAAUUAUUGGGCGUAAAGCGCGCGCAGGCGGUCCUUUAAGUCUGAUGUGAAAGCCCACGGCUCAACCGUGGAGGGUCAUUGGAAACUGGGGGACUUGAGUACAGAAGAGGAAAGUGGAAUUCCACGUGUAGCGGUGAAAUGCGUAGAGAUGUGGAGGAACACCAGUGGCGAAGGCGACUUUCUGGUCUGUAACUGACGCUGAGGCGCGAAAGCGUGGGGAGCAAACAGGAUUAGAUACCCCCGGUAGU
rnacentral:rRNA from 1 species